UGGGGAAUAUUGGACAAUGGGCGAAAGCCUGAUCCAGCCAUGCCGCGUGAGUGAAGAAGGCCUUCGGGUUGUAAAGCUCUUUCGGCGGGGACGAUGAUGACGGUACCCGCAUAAGAAGCCCCGGCAAACUUCGUGCCAGCAGCCGCGGUAAUACGAAGGGGGCUAGCGUUGUUCGGAAUUACUGGGCGUAAAGCGAACGUAGGCGGUGUUCCAUGUCAGAGGUGAAAGCCUGGGGCUCAACUCCAGAAUUGCCUUUGAAACGGGAACGCUUGAGUCCGAGAGAGGAUGGCGGAAUUCCUAGUGUAGAGGUGAAAUUCGUAGAUAUUAGGAAGAACACCGGUGGCGAAGGCGGCCAUCUGGCUCGGUACUGACGCUCAGGUUCGAAAGCGUGGGGAGCAAACAGGAUUAGAUACCCCCGUAGUCC
rnacentral:rRNA from 1 species